rnacentral:misc_RNA from 1 species
AAGUCAGUAACAAGGUUUCCGUUAGGUGAACCUGCGGAAGGAUCAUUACCAAUUUUAUCGGGGGGACUUCGGUCCCCUGUCUGAACCCUUGUCUUUUGCGUACUAUUUGUUUCCUUGGUGGCUUUGCCUGCCAAUAGGACACUAUUAAACCUUUUGUAAUUGCAGUCAGCGUCAGAAAAACAUAAUAAUUACAA